AACUUUUGGCAAUGGAUCACUUGGCUCUCUCAUCGAUGAAGAACGCAGCGAAAUGCGAUAAGUAAUGUGAAUUGCAGAUUUUCAGUGAAUCAUCGAAUCUUUGAACGCACCUUGCGCCCCUUGGUAUUCCGAGGGGCAUGCCUGUUUGAGUGUCAUCAAAUCCUCAACCCCCUCCGAUUUGUUUCGGUGGGGAUUGGACUUGGAGCGUGCUGGCGAAGGUCGGCUCCUCUUUAAAUGCAUCAGCGGAGAAAAUGCCUUUUGCGCCUCUGGCCGUUCAGCGUGAUAAUGACGUUGCGCUGCGGUCGAGCUCAAGGUCCGCUUCCAAAGGUCCUCGGACGAACGUAAACAUGACUUUUGACCUCAAAUCAGGUAGGACUACCCGCUGAACUUAAGCAUAUCAAUAAGCGGAGGCU
rnacentral:misc_RNA from 1 species